rnacentral:rRNA from 1 species
GUCGGGAGUUAGGAAAUGCACGGGGAGAAACUCUCGUGCUUGACGAAGGCCCCAAAGGAAGUCAUGGCUAACUCCGUGCCAGCAGCCGCGGUAAUACGGAGAUGGCAAGCGUUGUUCGGAAUCACUGGGCGUAAAGCGCGCGUAGGCGGUUAGGUAAGUUGGAUGUGGAAUCGCCCGGCUCAACCGGGCAACGACGUCCAAUACUGCCUGGCUAGAGCAUGGUAGGGGAGAGUGGAACUUCUGGU